rnacentral:misc_RNA from 1 species
GUUCAUUUCUACUUCAGGUAUAAGUUCUUCAUCACCCUUUUACAUUAUACUCAAAUUUUCCCAGUGCCAUUGGUGAUCUACGGGUUUGCAUUUGGAUGUCAAUUGUGUCGCUUUACGUUAAACGCAUCUCUUCUUUUUCUUGACUAACAAAUUCAAAAGUAUUAUGUACUAGUUCUGUUACUUCUGUGAUUCCUUAGAAUAGUAAGUUAGGGAAAAUUACAGAGAAUUUUAUUUGGUCUCUACAUGGCAGUUCAUAAAUUCUCAUAAGUAGCAUGUUUUUCGUGAUAGAUUGAAAGGAAUGACUAAUGAGCAAUGGCAAUUUUCUAUCUUGUAAUUUUGAUUGGAAAUCACGAUUUUCCAAUCCUUCUCUAAAUAUAUAAUUGCAUAAUUGAAAUUCAUACUCAGCCGGAUCACUAGUUUCUUGUUAUUCCACAAAUCACGUACUUAUCCUUGAAUUAAAUCCAGCAAGUAAUCAUAUAUAUAACUACAUAUAACUUUUAUUUAACAGACCUCAUCCAAUCAAUUUGGAUCAACAACAACAACUUGCUAAGAUGCACUGAUUACCUCCAAAUUUACUCUAGCUCCACCUUUCAUGUAACAUUAUUGAUUAGUUCAUUGUUUGAGUUGUUGCUCCUUCGCUGUUGAUUGCUAGUGUCGAGAUAUGUACUUUCUGAUUCUAAAUUUGUUUGUUUUUGAUAUGCUUUUCUGGUGAAUUACCUACU